rnacentral:rRNA from 1 species
AUACUGUGAAACUGCGAAUGGCUCAUUAAAUCAGUUAUCGUUUAUUUGAUAGUACCUUACUACUUGGAUAACCGUGGUAAUUCUAGAGCUAAUACAUGCGUCAAGCCCCGACUUCGGGAGGGGUGUAUUUAUUAGAUAAAAAACCAAUGCCCUUCGGGGCUCCUUGGUGAUUCAUGGUAACUUAACGAAUCGCAUGGCCUUGCGCCGGCGAUGGUUCAUUCAAAUUUCUGCCCUAUCAACUUUCGACGGUACGGUAGUGGCGUACCGUGGUAGCAACGGGUAACGGAGAAUUAGGGUUCGAUUCCGGAGAGUGAGCCUGAGAAACGGCUCACACAUCCAAGSAAGGCAGCAGGCGGCGCAAAUUACCCCAAUCCCGAUACGGGGAGGUAGUGACAACUAAAAUACUGAUACASGGCUCUUUUGGGUCUUGUAAUUGGAAUGAGUACAAAUUUAAAUCCCUUAACGAGGAACAAUUGGAGGGCAAGUCUUGGUGGACUUCCAGUUCCCCGGSGGGGGGAGACGGUUCGCGCCCCCCCCSCCYSCCCUGUGCGCCAGCAGUAGUAGGCCAGAUCCUGCUAGUCGACUCGGCGAUCGUGGCGGGUGCCGAGCGGCGAGACAACCCGGAUCGGGGGAGGCUACGGGGCCACGGGCCCUAUGCUAAUCCCGAGCGGAGCCCCCGGGGAGCGAUCCCCGGGCGGCCCGUGUAGAGCGCGCAAGGGUGUCGGCGGGCCCGAUCGAAGGGCCCGCUUGAGGGACGUGCCGUCCCCUGUGAAAACAGGUCGCAGUCUGGAGUGCCCGCCGCACAAAGGACCGCGAGCCCCCGGGCGAUGCUCGGGCGGUGGGACACGAAACAAACGGCCAGCAGCCGCGGUAAUUCCAGCUCCAAUAGCGUAUAUUAAAGUUGUUGCAGUUAAAAAGCUCGUAGUUGAWCCUUGGGCCUGGCUGGCMGGUCCGCCGCAAGGCGUGCACUGGUCCGRCUGGGCUCYUCCUUCUGGGGAUCSCCAUGCCCUUCACUGGGCGUGGUGGGGARCMAGGACKUUUACUUGUGAAAAAAUUAGAGUAGUUCRAAGCAGGCCUUUGCUCGSACUACAUUAGCAUGGAAUAAUAGAAUAGGGCGGACCCCCUAUUUUGUUGGUUUCUAGGGGAGCCGCAAUGAUUAAUAGGGACAGUCGGGGGCAUCAGUAUUCAAUCGUCAGAGGUGAAAUUCUUGGAUCGAUUGAAGACUAACUACUGCGAAAGCAUUUGCCAAGGAUGUUUUCAUUAAUCAGGAACGAAAGUUAGGGGAUCGAAGACGAUCAGAUACCGUCGUAGUCUUAACCAUAAACUAUGCCGACUAGGGAUCGGAGGGGGUCUGCUAGAGCCCCCUUCGGCACCUUACGAGAAAUCAAAGUCUUUGGGUCUGGGGGAGUAUUCGGCAG